GCCAUCCUUGGGAUACCACCCUUGUAGUACUGGGACUCUAACCAUAGGCCAUGAAUCUGGUCUUGGGACACUGUCAGGUGGGCAGUUUGACUGGGGCGGUCGCCUCCCAAAAGGUAACGGGGGCGCUCAAAGGUUCUCUCAGUACGGUCGGAAAUCGUACGUAGAGUGUAAAGGCAAAAGAGAGCUUGAUUGCAAGACAUACAGGUCGAGCAAGG
rnacentral:rRNA from 1 species